AUGCUAGAUCCGCCUGGCUCCCUGUAUGCCAACUGCGAGCCUUGCUAAAUAUUUGUUUGCCUUGAUUCAUAGCUGGCGUUCAGGGAGUCAAGCAGACCUUGCG
rnacentral:pre_miRNA from 1 species